rnacentral:lncRNA from 1 species
UUGCCAUUCGCAUACUACCAUUCUAUCAAAUAAAUUUGAGCCUUUUAUCCAAUUAUUGGCACUCCUAUCUGUUUCUAUUCAACAAAUGUUUUGCAUGUUUUUAUUAAGAAAAUAUCAUUGUUUUAAAUGAUCAAAUUUUUUUAUAAUUUGUUUUAAACAAAGUGAACAUUCACAAUGACGAAAGGAUACUUAGGAGAUCCUCAGUGCUCUCCCAAGGGUGGUACGAUC